UAAAUUGGUUACAUAUAUUCAGUAUUGUUGAAUGCUUUGUGGAAAGUAUGCCUGGACCUGCACAACUGACAAAGUGCAGGAAAUAUAGACCUGUUAGUCCUUUUUCUCAAAGCCCCCUCCAUCUCUGAAGUAAGGAAACAGUGUCUGAGUGCCCUCUGACUUGCUUCAUCUAAGUAGCAAAUGAGCUCCCUUUAGAUCAGAAGUGAACUGGAAAGGAUGAAAAUCUAUUGUUUAUGUCAAAGCUCUGUCUUCUGAAAACUUAAGCUGCAUAUUCGAACAAUCCAUUCUUUAAUAAGAUAAUAGACUAAGUGCAUUUAAGACUGGUUUUCUUCUAACAGUGGUUCUGUUUUCUCUUGUUCAUGGUCCUAAAGGUGAAAAGCAAGUGAAAGUUAUAGCUGUGUUCCUUGAGAGUGUUACUUAUAGCCAAUUUGAAGCAAUUAGUUAUUUUUAAGAGCAAAGUUUCAUGUUUAGCAUUUGUUAAAUAAGGAAAAUGUUUUCUGCACAAAGGUUUGAUGUAAUGGUGAAGGGUUAGGGAGAUGGAGAUCCAUAGAAACUCAAUACACAAAAUCAAAAUCUCUAAAAUAUUUCUCAAGUUAUUUCCUGAAGAGAAAAGAUUGUUUACAAAGUCAGGGUAGUCUUUGCCCCAGAUCCCUGUCUCUUGAAUAGAGCUACAUGUUAAUAUCACAUGCAGGAAGAACUAAGUACCUGUGCAUUGUAAAUCUAGGUAGUGCUGAAACUCUGGGCAUUGAGUUGUAUUGUGGUGCCAUCUACAUCUUGUGUUUGUUUUUUUUUUUUUAAAAAAAAAGAAAACAUGGUUCUAAGAUGUCUGCAGUCUUUUCUUGUGUAACUUACUAAUGGUGUCCUUACAGUCUCACAGGUAACUUGGUUGUGGUAGCUCUCCUUGGAGCAGAUACAGGCUAUGUAAGGGGCAGUCAGAUAUUGCUUGUGAACGGAUUCAAUACUGGAACAAGUUGUACUGUAGGUAGGGUCAUAAAACUACUUCUGAAAGAUUGAAUGAGUCAAGUUUAUCAGCACAGCAGUAACAUGAAUCUUGCAGGGUACCAAUGAUCUGUCACAGUCUUGGAAUAUCUGCUGAUAAUGUACUGCCUAUAGGAGCAAUGCUCCUUGCUUUACAGAAUGUCAUGUUUAGUACUUGAAGGAAAGAUUCUUCAUCAGAUCUCGGACCUGUUGCAGGCCAUUUAAAUCAGUAAGAUGCACAGUAAAAUGGCACAACUGGAAAUGCCUCCCUCUUCACUUCUGGGCAAAGAGGGUCUUGAAAUUUAUAUACAACCAAAGUCUUCUACUAAGAUUACAAUUUUUCUAGUGUAACUAUGCAUUAGGAUUUGUUUUCACUCAUACAAGCAAAGUUAAAGUUGUAAGUAUCUUAGACUUCUAUAGUGACCUAGGUAAUAUCUAAAACACUACUUAAAUGUAGCUUGCUGUUAUUUGAAACUCACUUUUGACAUUGAAAUAUGUUGUUUUGUGGUUAAUUUAAAUUUUGUGUGGGUUGUUUCUUAAAAGGGCCUUGGUGUUUGUAGUUUGCAUUUUUGUUUGCUGCAGCAAAAAAGAAAGCUGCUUAUGAAUAAAAAGAAAAGUAUGAAUGCACUGCUUUCAAAAAACAACAACAACAAUAAACAACUUUCUGGUUCUAAACACCAACUCAACAUUUGUACACCUUUAACUAGAACCUCUUUUAAUAAUCAUCUUGGUGCUCCAGUGCAGAGCUGUCAGGUUUUACUUCUACAAGCAAAACUGUAUCAGCUUGAAUGGUCAUGCCUCAUUAAGAGUUUGACAUUGUUGCACAGUGUGUUUAAUGCUAAAAUUGUUUUUACCUGUUUGUCUGAUUUGCAUCAAUUUCUCUUUGAUAUUACUAAUUUUUAUACAAAGUAUUCAAUAUUUAUUCUAAAACUUUGCUCUGUACCACAAAAAUACAAUUGUUUUGUAAGAUUUGAUUUGAAUAAACAGACUUGUUUCUUUUCUUUUUAAAAAAAAGAAAUUUCUUGUUGCUUUCUUUGUAACUGACAAGCUUGGCUCUGAUGCUUAGAUGCUAUUCUGAGGACAAUGAGGCAGUGUCCUUCCGGGGUGGUGUCUGGGGUUUUUUGUGUUUUGUUUUUGUCGUUGGAGCUUAC
rnacentral:lncRNA from 1 species